rnacentral:rRNA from 1 species
UACAGAGGGUGCAAGCGUUGUUCGGAAUCAUUGGGCGUAAAGGGCGUGUAGGCGGUCUGUUAAGUCAUGUGUGAAAUCCCUCGGCUCAACCGGGGAACGACGCAUGAAACUGACAAGCUAGAGUACCAAAGAGGGGGGUGGAAUUCAUGGUGUAGCAGUGAAAUGCGUAGAGAUCAUGAGGAAGACCAGUGGCGAAGGCGGGUCUCUGGACAGUUCCUGACACUGAGGCACGAAGGCCAGGGGAGCAAACGGG